UCACUAUAAUGACUAAUUUCCAGACAUUCGGAGUUUCCACCAGAAAGGUUUUUCCUUAUGUUGGCCAGUUCUUUGGAUGUCUAAGUGA
rnacentral:snoRNA from 1 species